rnacentral:rRNA from 1 species
AGUGAACGCUGGCGGUAGGCCUAACACAUGCAAGUCGAACGGCAGCACAGUAAGAGCUUGCUCUUACGGGUGGCGAGUGGCGGACGGGUGAGGAAUACAUCGGAAUCUACUUUUUCGUGGGGGAUAACGUAGGGAAACUUACGCCAAUACCGCAUACGACCUACGGGUGAAAGCAGGGGAUCUUCGGACCUUGCGCGAUUGAAUGAGCGGAUGUCGGAUUAGCUAGUUGGCGGGGUAAAGGCCCACCAAGGCGACGAUCCGUAGCUGGUCUGAGAGGAUGAUCAGCCACACUGGAACUGAGACACGGUCCAGACUCCUACGGGAGGCAGCAGUGGGGAAUAUUGGACAAUGGGCGCAAGCCUGAUCCAGCCAUACCGCGUGUGUGAAGAAGGCCUUCGGGUUGUAAAGCCCUUUUGUUGGGAAAGAAGAGCAGCAGGUUAAUACCCCGCUGUUCUGACGGUACCCAAAGAAUAAGCACCGGCUAACUUCGUG